UGGAUGUCCAAUAUAGAAGAUAAAGCCAAUGAGAAGCUAUGGAUGUUGAGAAUGGUGAAAGGAGAUUGUUUAUAUCAACAUCAGUCCAAGAUCAAAGAAUAUCUCCCUCUAGCCCAUGAUGCUCAGUCCCAUUUUCCAGAAGUCAACAGUAGAGGCAGAUGUCUGAGUGAAUGCCUGAGUCAGUGCAGAGAGAGCAGAUCCAAGAACGAAGAGAACACACUCAGCCCUGGUCCUUCCAGAAAUACAAAGAGAAAACAAAACCAAGAAGCCAGGCAAACAAACACAAAACAAAGAAACAGAACCAGCUCUGGAGAGAACAAACAUUGGGGAAAGAGUAACCUGAGGAUCCUUCCAUCAAGGGGAAGAGAGAGAAAAGACAAGGGACCAAGAUAGAAGAUCCUGUGUUCAAUUUAGGUGGCAGUGUGCAUAGCUGAGCCACUGUAUGCUGAAAAUAAGCAGAGAAGAUUGUGGCUAGGUUUCCUGAUAGAGUGCUGCUCUUCCUGACUUCUAUGUUGGCUUCUUCCUGCUUAGAGAGGAGAUACAGGAUGCUUGUUAGUGAGAUGGCCAUCUCAUCAGUAAGAGAUCAAGGUAUAAAGUAAAUGAUCAGGCUCUUGCUACCCAGAAUUCCCUGGGAAACAGAGGGACACACUUUAUCUGGGACA